rnacentral:rRNA from 1 species
GAUGAACGCUGGCGGGGUGUAUAAGAGAGGGAAGUCGAGGGAACGGACGAGAAGCUUGCUGGGCUGAGGUUAGCGGCGGACGGGUGAGUAACACGUGGAUAACCUACCUAUAAGACUGGGAUAACUUCGGGAAACCGGAGCUAAUACCGGAUAAUAUUUUGAAACGCAUGGAGCAAAAGUGAAAGACGGUCUUGCUGUCACUUAUAGAUGGAUCCGCGCUGCAUUAGCUAGUUGGUAAGGUAACGGCUGACCAAGGCAACGAUGCAUAGCCGACCUGAGAGCGUCCUCGGCCACCCUGGAACUGAGCCACGGUCCAGACUCCUACGGGAGGCAGCAGUCGGGAAUCUUCCGCCAUGCCCGCAAGCCUGCCCGAGCACCUCCGCGUGCGUGCUGCAGGUCUUCGGAUCGUAACUCUCUUUUCUUCGGGAAGAACAUAUGUGUAACUCCCUCUGCCCAUCUUGACGCUCCCUACUCCUCAAGCCCCUCCUCCCUACGUC